AUCCCUUCGGGGUGACGAUAUUAUUGACUGAGUGGCGGACGGGUGAGUAACGCGUGGGUAACCUACCUUGUACAGGGGGAUAACAGUUGGAAACGACUGCUAAUACCGCAUAAGCGCACAGUUUCGCAUGGAACAGUGUGAAAAGUUUUUUCGGUAUAAAAUGGACCCGCGUCUGAUUAGCUGGUUGGUGAGGUAACGGCCCACCAAGGCAACAAUAAGUAGCCAACCUGAGAGGGUGACCGGCCACAUUGGGACUGAAACACGGCCCAAACUCCUACGGGAGGCAGCAUUGGGGAAUAUUGCACAAUGGGCGAAAGCCUGAUGCACCGACCCCCCGGGAGCGAAAAAUUAUUUCGGUAUGUAAAGCUCUUUCACCAGGGAAAAUAAUGACGGUACCUGACUAAAAAGCACCGGCAAAAUACUUGCCAGCAGCCGCGGUAAUACUUAGGGUGCAGGCGUUAUCCGGAUUUACGGGGUGUAAAGGGAGCGUAGGCGGUUUUACAAGUCUGAUGUGAAAGCCCGGGGCUCAACUCCGGUUUUGCAUUGGAAACUGUAAAAUUAGAGUGUCGAAGGGGUAAGUGGAAUUCCUAGUGUAGCGGUGAAAUGCGUAAAUUUAAGGAGGAACACCAGUGGCGAAGGCGGCUUACUGGACAAUUACGGACGCUAAGGCUCGAAAGCGUGGGGAGCAAACAGGAUUAGAUACCCUGGUAGUCCACGCCG
rnacentral:rRNA from 1 species